AUUAUAUACCCGUGUAGUCCCAGCUGUAAACGAUGCGCGUUAGGUGUAUCGGUGACCACGAGUCACCGAGGUGCCGAAGGGAAACCGUGAAACGUGCCGCCUGGGAAGUACGGUCGCAAGGCUGAAACUUAAAGGAAUUGGCGGGGGAGCACCACAACAGGUGGAGCCUGCGGUUUAAUCGGACUCAACGCCGGGAAGCUCACCGGAUAAGACAGCUGAAUGAUAGCCGGGUUGAAGACUCUGCUUGACUAGCUGAGAGGAGGUGCAUGGC
rnacentral:rRNA from 1 species